AGUGGUUAAGAGUUUGGCUGAUAACCAAAAGGUUGGUGGUUCAAACCCACCAGCUACUC
rnacentral:tRNA from 1 species